rnacentral:lncRNA from 1 species
GAGAGAGAGAGACGGGGGAGGGCAGGAGGGACAGAGUCAGGGGAAACAGAGACAGGCAGAGACCGAGGGUCCUCAGAGACAGCUCUGCUGAGGCCUCAGCUCAGAGCAAGGUGGGGCCGCCCUCACCAGCCUCCUUCUCUCCAGGACAGCUCCCGGGCACGCCCUCCCUCUCGGUGCAGCCUGGACCCUUGGUGUCCUCAGGAGAGGAUGGGACCCUGCUGUGUCAGUCCUGGAGCCCGAUGGACACUUUCCUUCUGUCCAAGGAGGAAGCAGGAGCAGUGGAGACCCUCAGCCCAUCACAAAGCCAGUCACACUCCAAACCUGGUGAGCAAGAGAAUUCUCAAUUAUGGAGCUGGAUCUACAAGGUGAAAUCCUCUUCAGGGCAGAUAAGGAAAUUGAUGAAGAAAUUCUCCACAAGGAAAAACAAAAAGUCUGAAGAGAUGUGUUGUGUGGCUUCCUCCGGCUGAAGACAGGAGAAUUCCACUCUCCAUUGUAUUGUCUGCUUUGUGCUCUCAUCUAUGGAGCAGCUCUUCUUUGUUAAAAGUGAAAGAUCAUGAUGCAAGCAGAAGGUAAACUUCUCUAGUACUGUCGACAAUGAAAGGCUUCAACAGACUAUAGUAAAGUGCUGUAUAUAAGAAUAGGAGUUGUUCAUAACAUGACAAAUAAAAAUAUAUGAAAGCCUCUGAGAAGUUAAAUGCACCAUGAUUCUCUCUAAAAGAUGAAACCCUGAGAAACAGCACCAAAUUUGC